rnacentral:rRNA from 1 species
UACGGCCGCAAGGUUAAAACUCAAAUGAAUUGACGGGGGCCCGCACAAGCGGUGGAGCAUGUGGUUUAAUUCGAUGCAACGCGAAGAACCUUACCUACUCUUGACAUCCAGAGAACUUAGCAGAGAUGCUUUGGUGCCUUCGGGAACUCUGAGACAGGUGCUGCAUGGCUGUCGUCAGCUCGUGUUGUGAAAUGUUGGGUUAAGUCCCGCAACGAGCGCAACCCUUAUCCUUUGUUGCCAGCGGUUAGGCCGGGAACUCAAAGGAGACUGCCAGUGAUAAACUGGAGGAAGGUGGGGAUGACGUCAAGUCAUCAUGGCCCUUACGAGUAGGGCUACACACGUGCUACAAUGGCAUAUACAAAGAGAAGCGACCUCGCGAGAGCAAGCGGACCUCAUAAAGUAUGUCGUAGUCCGGAUUGGAGUCUGCAACUCGACUCCAUGAAGUCGGAAUCGCUAGUAAUCGUAGAUCAGAAUGCUACGGUGAAUACGUUCCCGGGCCUUGUACACACCGCCCGUCACACCAUGGGAGUGGGUUGCAAAAGAAGUAGGUAGCUUAACCUU